rnacentral:rRNA from 1 species
UACGUAGGGUGCAAGCGUUGUCCGGAAUUAUUGGGCGUAAAGAGCUCGUAGGCGGUCUGUCGCGUCGGAUGUGAAAACCCAGGGCUCAACCCUGGGCCUGCAUUCGAUACGGGCAGACUAGAGUUCGGUAGGGGAGACUGGAAUUCCUGGUGUAGCGGUGAAAUGCGCAGAUAUCAGGAGGAACACCGGUGGCGAAGGCGGGUCUCUGGGCAUUAACUGACGCUGAGGAGCGAAAGCAUGGGGAGCGAACAGG